rnacentral:misc_RNA from 1 species
UUUCCGUAGGUGAACCUGCGGAAGGAUCAUUAACGCAUCACGGAGGUACAAGGGCUUCCGCUGAUCCGAAACGUUGUCCACGCACGAGUGCCCUUACACACCUCGAUCUUAUCCCCAUGUGCACCACCGCGCGGGUCCCCGCUUUGCUACUUUGGUGGGGGGCUUUCGUUUUAACUCAAAGUUUGUAUGCGCUUUUGAAUGUAUUUUUUGUUUUUGUGUUCACGCAACCAUUACAACUUGCAACAUCGGUUCUCUUGGCUAUCGCAUCGGUGAAGAACC